AUACAUGCAAGUCGGACGGGAUUGGAGAGCUUGCUUUCCAUGAGAGUGGCGCACGGGUGCGUAACACGUAUGUAACCUACCUUCGUCAGGGGGAUAGCCUCUCGAAAGAGAGAUUAAGCCCGCAUAACAUGUUGAUAUGGCAUCAUAUUAACAUCAAAUAUUUAUAGGACGAAGAUGGGCAUGCGGAACAUUAGCUAGUUGGUAAGGUAACGGCUUACCAAGGCUACGAUGUUUAGGGGAUCUGAGAGGAUGACCCCCCACACUGGUACUGAGACACGGACCAGACUCCUACGGGAGGCAGCAGUAAGGAAUAUUGGUCAAUGGGCGGAAGCCUGAACCAGCCAUGCCGCGUGCAGGAAGACGGCCCUACGGGUUGUAAACUGCUUUUGUACCGGAAUAAACCCCCGAUCGUGAUCGGGGCUGAAUGUACGGUAAGAAUAAGGAUCGGCUAACUCCGUGCCAGCAGCCGCGGUAAUACGGAGGAUCCGAGCGUUAUCCGGAUUUAUUGGGUUUAAAGGGUGCGUAGGCGGCCUGUUAAGUCAGGGGUGAAAGACGGUAGCUCAACUAUCGCAGUGCCCUUGAUACUGAUGGGCUUGAAUGUACUAGAGGUAGGCGGAAUGUGACAAGUAGCGGUGAAAUGCAUAGAUAUGUCACAGAACACCAAUUGCGAAGGCAGCUUACUAUGGUAUUAUUGACGCUGAGGCACGAAAGCGUGGGGAUCAAACAGGAUUAGAUACCCUGGUAGUCCACGCCCUAAACGAUGAAUACUCGAUGUUAGCGAUAUACAGUUAGCGUCAAAGCGAAAGCGUUAAGUAUUCCACCUGGGGAGUACGCCCGCAAGGGUGAAACUCAAAGGAAUUGACGGGGGCCCGCACAAGCGGAGGAGCAUGUGGUUUAAUUCGAUGAUACGCGAGGAACCUUACCCGGGCUUGAA
rnacentral:rRNA from 1 species